rnacentral:ribozyme from 1 species
AUAGAGAGAGAGAACGAACAAGAAAAAGAGAAAGAGAAAGAGAAUAUUACCCCUCAAUCUUUUUUGUCAAGCCCUUCUUCUUUUUCUCUCUCUUUUUCU